UGGACCACUAUCUCAGCCUCGACCGAUCAGGUUCUCGAACAUAGUUGAGGUAAGUGAGGGAUUGGCUAUAGCCAACUUGAAGGAAUUAUAGAGCAUGGUCCUAAAUUUGGCAAGUUGUUCCAAUUAGGUGAGAUGACCAUUUUGGGAAAAUAACCUAUCCGUGAUCGCGAGAAUGGUAGAUAACGAAGUCCUAAUCGCCAGGAAUACAAUACACCCCAAAUGACAACUAUCGACUUGCUCUGCAUCGUAAAUGCAAAAAUACGAUCUCUGCCAGC
rnacentral:lncRNA from 1 species